UACGUAGGGUGCAAGCGUUAAUCGGAAUUACUGGGCGUAAAGCGUGCGCAGGCGGUUGUGCAAGACAGAUGUGAAAUCCCCGGGCUUAACCUGGGAACUGCAUUUGUGACUGCACGGCUAGAGUGUGUCAGAGGGGGGUAGAAUUCCCCGUGUAGCAGUGAAAUGCGUAGAUAUGUGGAGGAAUACCGAUGGCGAAGGCAGCCCCCUGGGAUAACACUGACGCUCAUGCACGAAAGCGUGGGGAGCAAACAGG
rnacentral:rRNA from 1 species